GUCCACUCCCACACCCACCCAUCCCUGAUCCAGAUUCCCUCCACCUCCUCUCCUCUCCUCUGUCGGCCUCCCUUCCGCCACCUAUCCUCUCCUCUGCCGCCGGGAUCCCCUCCCCGUUCUUCUCCGAUUGCUGGCAUCCCCGUCUCUCCCUCUCUCCGAUCCAUGGCGGGAUCCACCACCCGGCCGAUGGUGGCUAGCCUGGGCUGCUCCUCGCCACGACGUGGAGGCAUGGCGGCGACCCUAAGGGCGAGCCUAGUGGAAGCGCGAACAGCGACUGAGGAGGCAGUGAACGAGGUGGUGCUGCGGCAGGCUGCGCUGGUGGAGGACCUGCAGGGGCGCCCGGUGGCACGGGAGGCUGAGGCGAGCGGGACGAGCAGCUGGAGCAGGACGGCAACGUCGAGCUCAGCUGGGGCCUCCUCGGUGAUGCCUACGACCGCUGCAGCGAGGGCAUAUAUACUUGAUUGGGUAUAUGGAAUCUGAAUGUCGGCGCACAUGAUCUUACUAGCUUCUAAAUCCGCUGAGCUGUACCGAUGAUGGUGUGUUUGCUACUCACACAUUUUAUCCAAAGGAUCCUUAUGUCAAAACGUUGCCCACUUCUAGGUUGCUGGUAUGUAUUUUCACACCAUAUGUACGCUUGUGCUUACCCCCAUCUGUCUCGGCACAUUCAGCCCAAAUUUGACCAAAUACUGAAGAUGGUGCACUUGUGGGUGCUACGUGCCAUGCAUCUUGGCCAAUCUCAAGGAAAUAAUCAGUAAAGGCAAUAGUGUUUAGUCGUUCGCCACAGAGAAUCGUUGGUGAUAUUAAUUAGUAUAUCUGUAAGUGCAUCUAGUGCCCCUUAGUGAUUUUGAUGUAUUGAAGACUUAUAGGUUAAGGGACUAAUGUGUUUGUGAGUGUACACAUGCUCUAUAAGUCGAUGAGGAGUUUGAUAUUUGCGAUGAAAGUCGACCCCUAAAGAUGUAUGUCUUCAGCUGAAGACUUCGGUUCUCCUAAAGAUUUUGAAAGUGAUGAAAUUGGUGUGACCUUGAAGACUUGGAUAUUCAUGCGAGGAUUAUGAAGCAUGAAGACUUUUGUUUUUGUGGUUUCAU